rnacentral:rRNA from 1 species
ACUCCUACGGGAGGCAGCAGUGGGGAAUAUUGCACAAUGGGGGAAACCCUGAUGCAGCCAUGCCGCGUGUGUGAAGAAGGCCUUCGGGUUGUAAAGCACUUUUCAGUAGGGAGGAAGGUAGGUGUAGUUAACACCUGCACUUAUUUGACGUUACCUACAGAAGAAAGCACCGGCUAACGUCCGUGCCAGCAGCCGCGGUAAUACGGAGGGUGCGAGCGUUAAUCGGAAUUACUGGGCGUAAAGCGCAUGCAGGUGGUUUGUUAAGUCAGAUGUGAAAGCCAGUGCUC